rnacentral:rRNA from 1 species
UACGUAGGCAGCGAGCGUUGUUCGGAAUUACUGGGCGUAAAGAGUGUGUAGGCGGUGUUCCCAGUCUGUUGUGAAAUCUCCCGGCUUAACUGGGAGGGUGCAGCGGAAACUAGAAUGCUAGAGGGUGGGAGAGGUAAGCGGAAUUCCUGGUGUAGCGGUGAAAUGCGUAGAUAUCAGGAGGAACACCUGUGGUGUAGACAGCUUACUGGACCACUUCUGACGCUGAAACACGAAUGCGUGGGUAGCAAACAGG